AGGCUGCCAUUUCUGACCCUGGGAAGCUGGAGGGGGCACCUCUUGCAGAACAGCGUCAGAGCCAGGAAGGGUCUGGCGGGCACCCCAGGCCCACCAGGACCGGCGCUGGUGCCCCAAAAGCUGCCUCAUGACCUGGGGCCCUGCCUUUUCUCUACACAAAUCUGUUCUGAAGUCAGCUCUAUAGACCAAGAGGCGAAGGCAAACCCCGGAGUUCUCGGGUUCCCUGGUGCACGCUUUCACGGAAGGCCGUCCCUGCAAAGGCCUCUUCCCCACACGCUUCUGUGAUGCUGUGCGCUCAGGGCUCAAUCCAAGCGCCAAGUCUCUUUGCAUAAACCACUGCAGCUCUAAAGGAGACCAUUCCUGCUGGAGGAUUUAGAAAAUACCCCGGGAGUCAAGCAUCCAUUGCGUCACAGCGUGAGCAUGUUCCGACGGCUAUUACCGGGAUUAUGCUUGGGGGCCGGCAGAUUAAAGGGUGUCAGCCCCAAUACUUCACGUUCCGCUCAAGAGAAAGGCAAGGAAACCAGCCGCUGUGACGGCAGGCUCCUACCUGCUGAGCCAACUGCAGGAGCAUUACUGUGCUUAGUCUCCAGCCGUCUGUGAUGAGACGCAAAGCAAAACAAAACAAAGGGGACGGAAAGACUCGCCGUUUCUGGUACAGAAACCAGUGAACUUUCGGAUAAUUGCCUGUGUACUUUGCAGGCAAAGAGACUAACCCAGAAAACGCUAAGCAUGUGUACAAUAGGCGUGAACCUUCGGAAGGGCUCAUGUGUUUCUGGCCGAUCACGCGACCCACAAGGUCCGAGUGUAUCCAGGUGUCUCCAGACGCAUGGUAACUUCGCUCCCUGACAGUGUUUCUUGGAAAUGUCACGUGAACUUUAAUUAGACUUGACAUUUUGUAUGUAUUUUCCCGCAGUAUUUUCUGAGUCUUGGUAUAUAAAUAUGUGACUCCUCGACCACUCUUCAUGCCAAAGGAGCAAUGUGUUUGCAAGGGCCAUGUGACCAAGCUUUUAGACCAGUGAAAUAGAAAACCCACAAAGGAAAGGCUGCUUCCUGAUUCUGUGAACGCCGAGUGGACAUGUGAAGGAGCUGAUCAGGUGCCACCCCGCAUUUGGCCUGCAUGUGCUGACCGGGUGCCAUCCUGCAUUUGGCCUGCGUGUGGAUUUGCGCCCUCAGCCAGGGAGAGCCAAGCUGGGGUGGCAUCGAGAGUCCCUGGGCGGGGACCAGAGGGAGGUCCCGGCCAACUUGCUGGAAGAGACCCUGAUGCUGGGAAAGACUGAAGGCGGGAGAAGGGGACGACAGAGGAUGAGAUGGUUGGAUGGCAUCACUGACUUGAUGGACAUGAGUUUGAGUAAGCUCUGGGAGUUGGUGAUGGACAGGGAAGCCUGGUGUGCUGCAGUUCACGGGGUCGCAGAGAGUCGGACAUGACUGAGUGACCGAG
ensembl:lncRNA